UCUAAUAUGGCAGAUAAGUGCAGUGGAUUUAGAAUCCAUGAAUAUGAUUAUAUCAUUUUUAGUA
rnacentral:tRNA from 1 species